UUUGUAUCGCGCACCUGCCGCUGAAAUGGAGGGCAGUGUACAGCUGACCGACUUCCGGACGCUCCGGCGCUCCAGCAGCGUCGGGAACCUGGACAAUUGGUCUACAUGUAAACUACAUUGUCCAGAUAGAUUCCAUAUGACUCUGUUAAGCUGAUUUUAUCAAACCUAUUGUUGCUCAGGCAAGUUUAUAUACGACACAAACAAAAAACUACGCGAGAGACUGACCAGAGCAAACGAGAGGAAGAAAGUCAACCAAUGCUAUAAUCAGAAUGAGGACGAGCUGCGACCCAGGAGUCUGACCGUGGAGUGCAUGGAGAGACCCCCAAGGCGGCCACGCCCCACCCCCCGGCACUCCAAGAGUCUCAAAUUCAACCGAGAACAUAGCCAACAGAGUGAAGAUUCUGUCUUUAUGUCGGACUUGCAAGAUUUAAAAUCAUUUACUUCGGAUAGAGAUUUAACAAGAACCAAAUCUCUGCUGAAGCCCACACCUGUGUACCCAGAGGAUGUGUCGGACUAUACAACAACAGACCAGGGGUCCUAUAUCAGCCACAGCGAGACCAGUGGACAAAGCCAGGGCUGGACAGAAAACGAGGAAACCCCUUCCAUUGGUGAGUCACCCGAAACCAAGGGAUUCAAGUUCAACCCGUCCAACCGAGAUCCCAGGUGGCUGAAUCGAGUAAAACUAGACCAUAGCCUACCAGCUUUAGAUCACAUGUCACCGUUGUUAAAAAGUAAACCGAGAGCCUAUUCCGAGAGAAAUCUUCACCGUCUCCAAAAUAAGCAUGGCAUUAUUGCAUCUACGAAAGAAGGCGAGAGCUCCGAGAGUUCCUACAAGAGAGGUCCAUCCAGAGGUGUUCAAAACGGCCUGUACUCAGACUCAGAUCCCAAGUUUGAAAGUGAUGAUUCAGCAUUCCUUACCCCAUAUAUAAGGAAUGGUGAUCAGCAAUCAAACUCGGGAAAAAUCAGCAUAGUGAACGCUGACAGUCUCCGUGUGGAUUUUCUAAAGGAUGAGGGCCUGGAGACGACCGCUCAGCUUGAGCAGACAAUCCCGCUCAUUCACUCAGAGUCCGUGGAGUCGAGCACCAAGUCAUUCAAACUAUUGCAGCUUAAUCCAGAAUUAAAGAACAGCGUGACCACUAUUCUGAGCGUCCUGUAUGCCACUUUUAUCGUCGUCAUCGGAUCUGUGAUGUCAAUGACCGAGUCCUUCCUGAAGGCUAACAGGCCACUGUCGUUUGAGCUGUUUUAUAUAUUCAUUUAUUCCGCGAGCAUCAGUUUCCUGAUCUUUGUGUAUGUCUUCCUCCUCCGGAAACGAUCCGGGGAAAUCAUAAGGCAUGCAGUGCGCAGACUCAGUUUCCAUGACAGCCAACCGAUGUUCCGGCGCGUGGUAACCUUUACAAACGUUGGCCAUUCUGGUGGAUUCUACCUUCGACUCGGCGCGAUAGGAUUUGGUGUUGGCGGAAUGAUCUUGGAUGGUCUCUACAUAGCCGAGAAAUUCGAAGAUUACGGGAACCCGAACUCUUGUUACCCCGGCAUCGCCGCGGCCACUUAUAUCGUCAAGAUGGUGUUCGCCUUUUCACAGCUGUAUUUUGUCUUUAAUAAUGCUGAGGAUGAGUCCGACUUCGACUAAUGCUGAGGUUAACUAUAUUUAAGGCCAGUGAGGGUUGCUGUCCUUUUUAGAGAACUGGACAGGCUCUUAUUUUCUCAGACUCUCAUAUAAGUGUCUCUUGCUUGCCUAGUAGUUUUGAUUAUACUGAAUGAUCAAAAGCUGUUACAUUUAUGGAACCUAUAUGAGGAUGCUGACUCACCAGAGUCUUGCUAAGUUUGGUCUGAUGCACAUGAUGGCCACCAACAUCUGUGAGUGGUACCGGACAGUGGUGGUGGAAACCCUGGAGACACUGACCGAGGAAGCGGAAGGUCAAACCAAGGUCACGACCAAUCUUACAGACCAUGUGCACGACCUAUCCAAUCCUGUCAAUAGCACAGACCACAAGUCGUGUAUGCCUAGCAAAUUUGUAGCGAACAUCAUCAAAGAUACUAGUCCGUACCUUUACCCGUUCAAAAUCGAAUAUAACCUCAUCUGUGCUGGAAUUCUGUAUGUGAUGUGGCGCCACCUUGCGUACAACAGUGAGGUUAAACGCCUGCCUCUUUCACGCUCGGAGAGUAAUGGCGACAAGCGGAGGCGCCGCCUCACGGUCGACUGUUCCAGCUCCAGCAAAGGCUUGUUCCUGGGGAUCCUACUGUUUGUGACUGUGGUGAUCUCUCUGAAAUCGUUCGCCAGCCUCGUCAAAGUCAAUCCAAACGGACUGACUGUCUUGUUUGUUUCCCACUGCACAGAGAUCGGACUUUACACGAUGGCUCUCAUCAGCACGGUCGUGGCAGCGUUUCGAAUGAAAGAUUUGAAAUAUGAUUCAAAAGAACGAGCGAAGCUGGAGGAAAAUUUGAUCGGCAUAUCGCAGCUUGGGCUUUUCAUGUAUGGAGUCUUUAGUAUGGUAGCUGGAAGCAUUGAGGGUAAUACAGCACGCGGGGCAUUCACCAUUGUAACAAGUUGUCUGAUGAUGACGCAAGCAGCUUUGCAGACGAUAUUUCUUUUCGCAGCAAUGCGCAUGUCAGCCCGCAAGGAACAAUCCACGAAACCUGGACGAGAAUUUGUAACGUUUUUGCUUCUCUGUAACUUUUGUAUGUGGGUUGUGAAUACGUUCGAGACAAUUCGGCCAGAACACAAUUCUGUCCAGAUCAGUAUCUAUGGCGAGGACGCCUGGGCCAUCUUUGUCCACAUCUCCGUCCCCCUGGCCAUAUUCUACAGGUUUCACUCCACCGUCUGCCUGUCUCAUAUCUGGAAGUAUGCAUGGAAGGCAAAAGGGGAAUUCAGAUAGAAAACUCCUCAUUUUAUUCAAACAGCUUGGUAUUUACAGGUAGAUCACCAGAGACCAAGAUUAAAUAACCCUUUUCCCAAAAUCAAUACAUGAAGUACAAUUGUGUUACAGUUAUACAUGUUUAAGACACUUGGAUAAAGCAAUCAAACAAUUUU
rnacentral:misc_RNA from 1 species